AAUAUACUCAUAUCUCCAAACCUGAUGUAUCAAAGAGAUCCCAAGCAAGACAUCUCAAUGGAGCUCUUCACCUUGUUGGUUGAACGCCAACAGCUUUUCAUGGGCGCCAACUUGAACAAUGACCAUCAAGGUUUCACCACUGGUGCACAGUUGCCUCUGAUUUCUGGCUUGUUUGAGAGAAGGACCCGUUUGAGCUCAAAUCACUUUAUUCAUAUACACCCUUCAAACCUCCUUCUCCCUUUGCUUUAACAGCCUUUUCUGAUGCCAGUGUUGCAGGAGAUCAACCCUCAAAACAACCCUGGAGCUGAUGAAAGCACUGUCAAAAAAGAAACAUCAUGUAUGCAUCGUAGUUCUGUUAAAUUCAUAACUGGAACAGAACAAGAAUAACAUACAGAAUUACCUCAAGUCAAGUCUAUUUCUGUCUUUGAGACUCCACAGCGCACUCAUCAAACCGUCACCAACUCAGAAAAAGCCCCUGACUGAUCCUCACUGAUCUGCAGCAGCCUUUCAUGAUGCCGGCGUUCCAGGAGAUCAACACGCAAAACAACCCUGCAGUUGCAGAUACCACUGUCAAGGAGAUAGAGAAAUCAUUGUUUGAGACACCGCAGCGCUCUCAUCAAACCGUCACCACCUCAGAAAAAGUUUGCAGAGCCCUUGACUUCUCCACUGAUCUGAAGAAAGAAAAUGAUAAAGAAAAUGAUAACAAGAGGGAGACCCAAAAACUGCAAAAG